rnacentral:lncRNA from 1 species
UGGGAAAAAAAAUAAUAACACAACUAUAAAAAAGUAAACAAAAAAUUAAAAGUACUUUCUUUUUCUAAUUUCAAUUUAACUAAAAUAUAAAAACUAAUCACCCAAACAAAAUUCAGCCAAAAAAAUUCCCAAUUUUACCUUAUUCUUCACCUCAAAAUUAAAACCCUAACAUUUAAGAAAUCCCUCUACUUUCCAUUUUACUACAAUGAGAUUAAUAACAAUCCAAAACAAAGUACAACCCAAGUUCAGAAGUUCUCAGACCAGGAUUCAUCACCAUGUGUUUAAAGGAUUUUGGUCGCCGCUGACUUCUUCUUUAUCUUCCUGCUCAUCUUCUUCGGCAUCAGCUAUUUCUCAAGAAAAAAUUGGCAUCAACUAAUGAUGGUUCCCACCAUCAGCUCCUAAUUCUUCUAGUUUCUUACUCUGUUUGUGCUCUUUUUUCUUUAAAUUUUGAUGGGGUUUAUUUGAUUUUUCAUUCCUCAUCUCAAUUGAUGAAAACUCAUUUCUCUCUCAUACUUUUAUUCAAAUUAUCCAUAUUUAUGAACCAAUUCAUGCACUUCUUGAAAUCAAUUUACACGUUAAGAAGGAAAAUUCUGUUUUUUACUAGUGUAUUUUGAAUACAUGUUUCAUAAAAUUAGUCAUACCAAAAGGCUAGUUCGCGAUGGCAGUCUCAUUUUUCAGUACAUUUUGACUAUGGAGGGUUUGGGUUGCCUUUUCGAAGAGUGGAAAGGUUGGAAAUGGUAAGAGUAGGAGGAAUUAAGAAAAUCUAAAUUGGUGGCGGUGAAGAGGCUUUCAUAUGUGAAUGUUUAAUGAGUGAUGAAGAAUGUGUUAGCUAAUCUAUUGUUUUGAUAUUUUGUUUUAAUUUUUUAAUAACUAUUUAGAUAUUAAUAUUAAAAAUACAUGUAUGGCUACGGUUU